UACGUAGGGGGCAAGCGUUGUCCGGAAUCAUUGGGCGUAAAGAGUGUGUAGGCGGCCAGAUAAGUCCGCUGUGAAAUCUCGAGGCUCAACUUCGAGAUGUCGGUGGAAACUGUCUGGCUAGAGUCCGGAAGAGGAGAAUGGAAUUCCUGGUGUAGCGGUGAAAUGCGCAGAUAUCAGGAAGAACACCCGUGGCGAAGGCGAUUCUCUGGGCCUUACCUGACGAUGAGGAGCGAAAGCGUGGGGAG
rnacentral:rRNA from 1 species